CAACAAUAAUGCAUAUCAUCUGGCCGACUGUGGUGGUCCUGAUACUGAUUCCUCUGCUGCUCCUGGGUCUAUGGGCGAGUUGGACUCAAUUCAGGAAGAAGAAAACUCUGAGCUCCACCACUAAACCACAUGAGCCUGUAGAGCUAGAGUUAGACUCUUGUCCUGACUAUGAGAACAUCUCAGACACUGCAGCAAAGACAGAAGACCC